rnacentral:rRNA from 1 species
UAUCUCUGUAGAGUCUGCAUAUCAAUAAGCGGAGGAAAAGAAACUAACUAGGAUUCCCUCAGUAACGGCGAGUGAAGCGGGAAGAGCUCAAAUUUGAAAUCUUCAAGGUUUUACCUUGACGAAUUGUAGUUUAAAGAAGUGUUUUCUGUUGGAAUUUUGGUAAAAGUUCUUUGGAAAUAGGACAUCAUAAGAGGGUGAGAAUCCCGUAUUUGACCAUUACUUCCAGCUUUGUGAUACACUUUCAAAGAGUCGGAUUGUUUGGGAAUGCAGUCCAAAAUGGGUGGUAAAUUUCAUCUAAAGCUAAAUAUUGGCGAGAGACCUGAUAGCGAACAAGUACCGUGAGGGAAAGAUGAAAAGAACUUUGAAAAGAGAGUUAAACAGUACGUGAAAUUGUCAAAAGGGAAGCGUUUGACACCAGUGUUGUUUUCUCGAAAAUCAAUUAAAAAUGCUGGAUUUUGUGUUGUAUUGACUUUAUCAGCUUUCCUGCACUCUUUUCCUGUCUUUUUUAAUGCACUUUUCGUUUAACAAGUCAACAUCAAUUUCUUUUGUUGUAAAAGGGUCAUUGGAAGGUGGCUUUCUUUUCGGAGAAAGUGUUUAUAGCCUUUGACUUCUGCAAUCGGAGAGAUUGAGGUCUGCAGCGUAGAUCCUUCGGGGUUAGAUGCAUUUGUGCUAAGUUAUAGCCUUUUAUAGACAACUUGUUGACUAUGAUCAGUCAUGUAGCUUACUCGCUUAUGUCAUUUUACCUACGCUUAGGAUGUUGAUCUCUCACAGUCGAGC